UUGAGUUGUUGAAGAAAGAAGGCUGAGCAAGCUAUAGGGGAGCAAGCAAUUAAGCAGCUCCCUUCCAUGGCCUCGGUAUCAGCUCUUGCCUUUAGGUUC